CUACAAACCCGAACUAUCGUGUCGCAGCUUCUGCGGCAAGGAAAGUCCGGACAGCACAGGGCAAUCUACCGGUGAAGAGCCGGGGUUUGGCUUCCGCCAUUCACAGCAAGUGCCACAGAAAAUAACCGCCGCCUCCACGCGGUAAGGGUGAAAAUGUGAGGUAAGAGCUCACGUCCGGUGAUGGUAACAUCACCGGAGGGUAAACCUUAGAUGCUGUAAUGCCAUGUAUAGGCUCGCCUGAGGGCGGCUCGCCCAAUGAGCCAGGGUAGGCAGCAACAGGUGAACAGCAAUGUUCAUCGCAGAUAAAUGAUAGUUUAGAAACAGAAUCCGGCUUACGAGGUUUGUAGUUAU
rnacentral:RNase_P_RNA from 1 species